rnacentral:rRNA from 1 species
CAGUCGCCACGGGAAUACGGAGGGAGCUAGCGUUGUUCGGAAUUACUGGGCGUAAAGCGCGCGUAGGCGGUUACUCAAGUCAGAGGUGAAAGCCCGGGGCUCAACCCCGGAACUGCCUUUGAAACUAGGUAACUAGAAUCUUGGAGAGGUCAGUGGAAUUCCGAGUGUAGAGGUGAAAUUCGUAGAUAUUCGGAAGAACACCAGUGGCGAAGGCGACUGACUGGACAAGUAUUGACGCUGAGGUGCGAAAGCGUGGGGAGCAAACAGGAUUAGAUACCCCUGUAGUCCCUGUCUCUUAUAC